UGCCCCACCUGCGGCGUGCCCACCUCAUCUCCGCCGCUGCUCAGGGCAACUCCAACGGGGGCGCCCGCGGUCGGCGCGCCCCUCGCGCCGCGCCGAUGGUGCUGCCAGCCGCCUAUCGCGGCCGCGCCGCUGGGGGCCGGCGGCGGCCCGUCCUUGCCGCGCGCCGAUGUGGGCGGCCGUGCCCCGCCCGUGCCAUUGGGGGCGGCAGCGGCCCGUCCUACCCGCGUGCCGAUGGGGGCGCCCGCGGCCGGCCUGCCCCUCGCGCCGAUGUGGGCGGCCGUCCACCGCCCGUGCCAUUUGGGGGCUGGCGGCGGCCCGUCCUACCCGCGUGCCGAUGGGGGCGCCCGCGGCCGGCCUGCCCCUCGCGCCGAUGUGGGCGGCCGUCCACCGCCCGUGCCAUUUGGGGGCUGGCGGCGACCCGUCCUGCCCGCGCGCCGAUGGGGGCGCCCACGGCCGGCCUGCCCCUCACGCCGCCGGUGCCGCCAGCCGCCUUCCACCGACGCUGCCACUUCUUCGAUGAAAAAAAAGCCCCUUCCUCCGCUUGCCUAUCGCCGCCGCUGCCGCUCCUACCCCCGGCUGCCCCUCCCUCCGCAGCUCUUUCCGGCCAUGCACCGCCCCUUCCGGUGUUGGCGUCAUCCUCUUUCAGGGCUCUCCAUCCCGCGGCUACCUCUGGCCUCUUGAAUCUUGCUCCACCCUCCUGCUGCGGCAACAAAGGGGAAGCCAUGAACUGCGAGGUUGUGUUCCCGCAAGAUGGCCGAGGUACCAUGAAGCCUGUCUUUGGUACGCUGUGCCGUGACAUGACGAGCCUCGUCCUCCGCCGAGCAGGCUGCAACAGAGAGCACCAUCCUUCAAUCUUUCCUCGAUUUGGUCAUCGCAGUUACUUGAAGCUGAUUCAGACACGGAGUCCAUUCCUGUGUUGCUCGGCCUAGCCCACAGCCUGUGGGGCAGGCACGGCGGUGCAGCCAGCUGAUUCUGCGGCUACGAUGGCAUUGCCCUCACUCCAAUGUUUUACUCCUCAACCAGCAUGACCUGCUGGUGAUUUGGCAUCUCCCGGUUCCAUCCCCAUUGGAUGUAGUGAGAUGCAGAAUUCCUCCCUGUUUGUAAGGUCUUCAUGUUCUUUUCAGGUGAUACUGUAGUGUGGCAGUGGUGUGCUGUGGCAAGCAGCGGCGGCAGGGGCUCCAAGUUGGUGUUUGUUCACAUCGAUUGCCAAUGGCUAGGCUGUUCACAAGCAGCGUCGUUUGUUGACAGCAGGUGUUGGCACUUAUCAGGACUGAUGUCUUGUGGGUCAUGAUUAGGCAGAAACAGGCAACUUCAAUUAAAGAGUGCCCUUGCCUUGUUUGUUUUUCUUUCCUCCUGCCAAUUUCAUUGACCUUUGCGGUUAUUGUCAGUGGCUGAGGACAUGAAGCAGGUGGUGAACCUGGAAACAGAUAAUUUAAAGAAAGUACACAAAUAGCUGGAUUCAGCUUCAAGGUCCUCUGUUAGUUACUGCCUCAAUUGCAGAUUAAUGCCUUAAGAAGAAUGCCAGUUUUAUAAAUGAUGGAGCCUCCUGUGAGGUGCCUUGGGCUUAAGAAGCUAAGCUGGGUAAAUGCAAGAAGUGAAUUAUUCUACCACACUGAUAAGAAUUAAAAGGUGGUUGAGAUGGAAUAUGGAAUACUGUGUCUUGUUAAAAGGUGGUUUAGACUAUAAUAUUAAAUUUGGUGGUUUUCACGGUGCUUGUUAAGUCUUAAUAGUACCAUGAUCAAGGAUCUUAGAUAGAGGGGCAAUCUGACACCAUAAGCUAAUUAUGCUCGGACCUGAAACUAAGUUGUUUACUGUUUUCAAUUUGCUUUAAAUAUCUGGAGCAAAUAUGGAGCUAGAUGCACGGUUGCUAUAUUAUCUACCAAUGUCAUGUUUCUAACACAUUCUAAUAUUUGGUUGAGUUCAUAUGGGUUAGUGAGUUUUUUCCUAACUGCGCACGAUAUUAAGGCUGCUUAUCUUUUUUCCUGAAACAAUUGUUAUAAUCAAUUCAAGUUCAUGUCAUGUUUAUUGCAAGAUACUUAUGUGGUAUCCAGUUCUUCUUAUGGCACACUAGAAAUAGAACCUGCCAGGAAUAGUGCUUGGUAUUUUUAUUUUGGUAAUAGACAAAAGCAUAUUGGUUUUGAAACUGAUUUCACUCGCAUAUUUUUCAUCACUUUUGUGCAUCCUGAAGUGAUCAGCUCAAUGGCUCUGCUUCUAACGCAUGGAGUAUGGGUGCUUCCGUCCAAGGCUCCUGUCACCGUGCAUUUGUGAGUACAGGUUUGAAAUGGUUGCAUGCUUCAAGGGAUUUGAGAAGUUUUCAGGUUUUCUAUAUGUUUGACCUACAAACCUGAAGCUUCAUAUCCUAUUUCUGACAGAAAGUUGGUUCAACCUUUGUGAUGCAAUGUCUCAAGUGAAGCAUUGUAACUGAAGUAAAUGUUGUCGUAAUGUGGUAGAAAUAUGAAUUUUCUUGGUGGUAAGUUACUUUCAUGAUAUUUUUCCUUAUUGUUGUUUUUGUGAAUAAUAAGAUGCUAUUCCUUGCUGGUCUUAUUUGGAAGAACACUGAGAUUACAGCAUCUGUCCCAAUGCAUUUACCCAAUCAGCCCAUUCCUCGUCCAAGUAGAGAUGUUCUAGAGUAUAUGAGGUCAGACAUGUUUGCUCUUUGUUCAAUAGCUUACUGGAUAUAUAGAUUUUCAAGAGUAAAAUUCAUGUUUAAAACAGAUAGGCUACAACAUUGAGUGAAUUUGUUGCUAAUCAAAUCAGUUCAACAUGUAACCAUAAGCUUAUUUAAUUAGCAAUAGAUAAACCGAUCAUACCACCCAAGUUUAAUUACACGUGUGUAUUUUGAUCUUGAUAUACAUAUAUUUGAUUAAUAGCUUACAAUAGAUAUUUUGGUUGGUCAAUAGAUAUCUGAUGCUUUUUUCUGAUGUACCCAUGUUUUGAUGUCUUAUGUUACCUCCUAAUUUCAGUGGUCAUAUAUUGUUGACCUGAUUUACCAUUUGGCGUUUGAGUUAACAUGUUCCUCUGAACUCUAUUAAUGCUUCUAUUAUUUGGUUUAGUGCCUGCUUGGUUAUCUGCUAUUCCUCUUAGUCAUAUAGCCAUUUUGUUUACAAGGAACAACAAGAAGAAUAUGAACAUAGCCAAAUAAUGGUGAAAUCUGCAAAAGAUUCUGUACAGGAACAUUCCAUACUGCGUCCUAUCAAUUUCCUUUUCCAAGUACCUUAAUGAAAGGAAAAUAGGACAUUAGGUAUUUGUGUAUAUUUGGUUAAAACAGAGAAACCGGUAUCUUCAUGUCGAACUACUAUAGGCAUACCUUAUUAACCCAAUUUAUUUAUUCCACCCUUCAUAUUCAAUUAGUUAUUUGAUGAUGAGAUUAAUUGAGCUGUUAUAGCCAAAAUUUCUAGCUGUAGGCAUGCAUCUGUGAUUUAUUUCUUGGUUGAAAAUUUAAUAGAGCGCAAAAGUUUUAAUUUAUAAUAGUUUGUGACUACAAAGAAAUGCCUUUAUUUUUUUCCUGCGUGCUCUCUUGUCAGGAAUUGGGGGUGUGCGGGUUACUGUUCACGUGAACAGUACUCGAGGGGGUGGGGGUGGAGGCGCAGGGAGAGGUGGAGAGGCAGGGGGCAGGGUAGGGUUGAACCUUUUCCUUGCUGAUCCAAAAUAGAUUACACCCUUUUAGUUUUAUAGUGACUCCUAACUUAACUCCCAAGCAAUCUAAGGAUGGAAUCCUUCCAUCUUACAACUCAAUCUCUAAUUAUUACCUAACUUAAACAAAAGGACUUCCUAAUACUUGAAUAGACUAAAGAUAGAAGGGAGGGGGCUGCUGGGCGCCUGGACCCCCUAGGGUGGUGCGGCCCAGGGCUGCAGGUGCCCCUGCACACCUGACUGCUGCUGUUGGGCCUGCCUGGCCCAUGGCGCCAUGGCCCUGGCUGCCCAUGCACAUGACAUCUCUGUACAUGGAACCUUAUGCUACAAGAUGUAACCUUUCGCAGGUAAGCCUACUAAAUCAGAAAAGGGUUCCAUGCUGAUUUCACUGUAUGUUAGUCAAUGAUGCAGAGAAAAGCUCUUUCCUUGCAUUCAAUUUUUUUGAUAGGAUUCAUGUUGAAAUUCCAACUGAACAACCAUUACUCUUUACUGUUUAGUACAUCCUUUUUGUUUUCUUGUCAUUUUGUGCUUCCAUAUUCCUGUUAGAUUUCAUGGGAUUUGUUUAUUUUAGUCCCACAAUAUAGUUUGCGAGUGAAUAUUUCAUUAUCUUUCCCUUGAAAUACACGCAUGGUGAAGGGUUAUCAGCCAAUUGAGCUGCAACUGCUCCGUACAGAGAAUUCAUAUAGCUGUGUACUGUAUCCAUGUUUUGCAAUAUUAUAAAUAAGUGCUUUAUUUGAUCCACUUGCAGUAAUAGUUAGUUACAGUUUUGCUAAAUUUAAUAGAUAGCAAACUAAUAUGCUCGAACAUGUGCCCAGUAUUGCUCUGAUCGUUUGAGUGAACACAGACCAUUACAAAAAAGUUGGGUGUGUCCUUUUGGUCACUUUAAAACUGCAAGUGGUAUACACAUGGAUAGACAUCAUUGGCAUAAGGGUUAGUGCGCUCUCUGACGGCUAUAUUUAUCCUUUGCAAAUUAUCCGCCUAUUUCUAGACAAGAUUACAAGAAAAAAGAAAGAUCAAGGCUAUUUUUAAUAGCGUACUGAUGGACUUACUUUAUUGAUACAAAGUUCAUGCACCAAUUAGUUCAUGGCAUUGCAAUGGCAUGGUCAAGUGUUAUAUUGAUUCUUAUUUGCCAUAUAUUUGAUAUUAUGGUAGUUUUCAUCCAAUAAAUUCAAAAACUAUUAGACAUUUUAUGGGUUGUCACUCAGUGUGGAGGGAAAUUAUCUCCAAAUUUGCAUACAUCUUAUGUAAAGAUAAUUAGAUAUUUAUUCCUAAUUUGUUGUAAUUGAGAGGAGUUACAAGCAAGGGCUUAGGCUGCGACAGGAAUGUAAUGCAUUUAAAAAAAGUAUUGCAAGAAAUCAAUUUACAUUACCUUAUCAUAUUAUAUUGUUCGAAUAUCAUUAUGAUGGCUUUGUUAGUUUGGUGAAGAGAUUAUGUGAAUCCAUCUUAAUCUCAAUGUUCUUUUUUUUUUUCAAAACUUGCAAAUAAUUUCAAAGUAUGCUGUUGUAAUGUUUGCUUAUAGAUUUGAAAUUCAUAUAGUUACCUGCAUACUAUUGCUUAUUUUAAGAGCGUGCUUACCUUGGGUUCCUAAUUAUAUCUCUAACUCCAGGGAUGAAUGCAGAGCUAAGAAAGGUAAGAGAUGACAAUUAUUGCAAUUACCACGUAUGAUCCUGAGUAGGUUAUGGUGCUCUUAACAAAUUUCGUGAAAAUGUAGGGAUAUCCAUAUGCAAUCCCGCAACUGUACAAUUUGAUAGAAGAUUCUACUUUUGCCAAAACAAUACCAGCUACCGUGCAAAAUCAUAGGAGCCAGCAGUGUUGCAGAAUGAAGAAGUGACAAACUACCUCCUAGCUACUUAAUGUUAUGAACUUACUCUAGCUGCUGAAACCUGUAUAUUAUAACUUAUCUACAACUAUUCGCACAUGUAUUAUAAAUUAUCUAGACUUACUUCAAAUGUCAAGUUCUUCAUAACAUUAUUGUGCCCA